GUGCGAGGUGGAAAGUUCAGGUGGAGGCAGAAAGUCCAGGCGGAGGUGGAGUGUUCAGGUGGAAGGUGGAGGCAGAAGGUGGAUGUGGAGGUGGAAAGUUCAGGUGGAGGCGGAGGUGGAAGGUGGAGGUGAAAAGUGGAGGCAGAAGGUGGAGGUGGAAAGUUCAGGUGGAGGCGGGAGGUGAAGGCAGA